UACUAUGUGGGAGUGCUGGUGAAAGACCCCCGGAGUGGGGAGACCCUCACUCAAGUCUCAGGAUGACGCGACCCCCCAAGAACUCACACAAGACC
rnacentral:pre_miRNA from 14 species